rnacentral:rRNA from 1 species
GGGUUGUGAGGUUAAGCGACUAAGCGUACACGGUGGAUGCCCUGGCAGUCAGAGGCGAUGAAGGACGUGCUAAUCUGCGAUAAGCGUCGGUAAGGUGAUAUGAACCGUUAUAACCGGCGAUUUCCGAAUGGGGAAACCCAGUGUGAUUCGUCACACUAUCAUUAACUGAAUCCAUAGGUUAAUGAGGCGAACCGGGGGAACUGAAACAUCUAAGUACCCCGAGGAAAAGAAAUCAACCGAGAUUCCCCCAGUAGCGGCGAGCGAACGGGGAGCAGCCCAGAGCCUGAAUCAGUGUGUGUGUUAGUGGAAGCGUCUGGAAAGGCGCGCGAUACAGGGUGACAGCCCCGUACACAAAAAUGCACAUACUGUGAGCUCGAUGAGUAGGGCGGGACACGUGGUAUCCUGUCUGAAUAUGGGGGGA